AUCGCUUCUUGACCUUUUGGCUAAGAUCAAGUAUAGUAUCUGUUCUUAUCAGUUUAAAAGCUUCAUGUCAAAAGAUACCAGAAACAAAAAUUAUUCAAAAAAAU
rnacentral:snRNA from 1 species